UUGCGGUGAUGACCAUCUUAGGACACCUUUGGAACAUCCAUGAAAAAAAAAAAAACGAGUUAUUUCUGAGCAAC
rnacentral:snoRNA from 1 species